CGAGGUGUAGCGCAGUUGGUAGCGCGCCUGCUUUGGGAGCAGGAUGUCGCAGGUUCAAGUCCUGUCACCUCGACCA
rnacentral:tRNA from 4 species